UAUUUUUAUGUAUUUUUAUGUAUCACAGUGCUCUGUAAUAUAAAAUCACGUCACACGAUUGAACCAUUAAAGUACUUUUUAAACAUAAAGAUGUAAGUUAGGUUAUAGGCUAAUCCAAUAUUGGAUAGAAUAGCUCUGAUUCUGAGAUUAAAGGACAAGUUUCAUUACAAAAUAUAACUACAACAGCAAACGAAGGGACGCUAGGUUGGUUUAAUAGUAAAAAGGAAAUUCUAACAAAAAUUUAAUCAAAGAAAUAUAAUCGGUAUUUUACUCUUGAGAUAAGCUCAUCGAUAUGGCCUAUUAGACAUGA
rnacentral:misc_RNA from 1 species